rnacentral:rRNA from 1 species
CUACGGGCUGCUGCAGUGGGGAAUAUUGCACAAUGGGCGCAAGCCUGAUGCAGCCAUGCCGCGUGUAUGAAGAAGGCCUUCGGGUUGUAAAGGACUUUCAGCGGGGAGGAAGGGAGUAAAGUUAAUACCUUUGCUCAUUGACGUUACCCGCAGAAGAAGCACCGGCUAACUCCGUGCCAGCAGCCGCGGUAAUACGGAGGGGGCAAGCGUUAAUCGGAAUUACUGGGCGUAAAGCGCACGCAGGCGGUUUGUUAAGUCAGAUGUGAAAUCCCCGGGCUCAACCCGGGAACUGCAUCUGAUACUGGCAAGCUUGAGUCUCGUAGAGGGGGGUAGAAUUCCAGGUGUAGCGGUGAAAUGCGUAGAGAUCUGGAGGAAUACCGGUGGCGAAGGCGGCCCCCUGGACGAAGACUGACGCUCAGGUGCGAAAGCGUGGGGAGCAAACAGGAUUAGAUACCCUCGAGUC